AAUUGGAAAGAGGAGUGGCGGACGGGUGAGUAACACGUGGGUAACCUACCCAUCAGAGGGGGAUAACACUUGGAAACAGGUGCUAAUACCGCAUAACAGUUUAUGCCGCAUGGCAUAAGAGUGAAAGGCGCUUUCGGGUGUCGCUGAUGGAUGGACCCGCGGUGCAUUAGCUAGUUGGUGAGGUAACGGCUCACCAAGGCCACGAUGCAUAGCCGACCUGAGAGGGUGAUCGGCCACACUGGGACUGAGACACGGCCCAGACUCCCACGGGAGGCAGCAGUAGGGAAUCUUCGGCAAUGGACGAAAGUCUGACCGAGCCACGCCGCGUGAGUGAAGAAGGUUUUCGGAUCGUAAAACUCUGUUGUUAGAGAAGAACAAGGACGUUAGUAACUGAACGUCCCCUGACGGUAUCUAACCAGAAAGCCACGGCUAACUACGUGCCAGCAGCCGCGGUAAUACGUAGGUGGCAAGCGUUGUCCGGAUUUAUUGGGCGUAAAGCGAGCGCAGGCGGUUUCUUAAGUCUGAUGUGAAAGCCCCCGGCUCAACCGGGGAGGGUCAUUGGAAACUGGGAGACUUGAGUGCAGAAGAGGAGAGUGGAAUUCCAUGUGUAGCGGUGAAAUGCGUAGAUAU
rnacentral:rRNA from 1 species